GCGUUCCAAGCAGCAGUGAAGCGGUAUCGUGAGGAGCCGUGGAGCGCUUGGAAGUGAGAUGCCUGUGUGAGUAGCGAAAAGAGGGGUGAGAAUCCCCUCCGUCGAAAGCCCAAGGUUUCCUGAGGAAGGCUCGUCCGCUCAGGGUUAGUCUGGACCUAAGCCGAGGCCGAAAGGCGUAGGCGAUGGACAACAGGUUGAUAUUCCUGUACCGCCGUACCACCGUUUGAACGAUGGGGGGACGCAGAAGGAUAAGGUAACCGUGCGAAUGGAAGUGCACGGACAAGCAGCGAGG
rnacentral:rRNA from 1 species